rnacentral:rRNA from 1 species
AAGUCAGUACGGCCCUUAUGCCGUGGGCUACACACGUGCUACAAUCCCCGCUACAAAGAGAAGCAAAACCGUAAGGCGGAGCAAAUCUCAAAAAAGCGGGGCCAGUUCAGAUUGAGGGCUGCAAUUCGCCCUCAUGAAGCCGGAAUCGCUAGUAAUCGCGCAUCAGACACGGCGCGAUGAAUACGUUCCCGGGUCUUGUACACACCGCCCGUCAAGCCACCUGAAUUGACUGCACCCGAAACCGUUUCUUCUAACCCGCAAGGGGGGAAGGCGUCUAAGGUGUGGUUAGUGAGGAGGGCUAAGUCGUAACAAGGUAGCCGUAUCGGAAGGUGCGGCUGGAUCACCUCCUUU